UACAGAGGGUGCAAGCGUUAAUCGGAAUUACUGGGCGUAAAGCGCGCGUAGGCGGUUUGUUAAGUCGGAUGUGAAAUCCCCGGGCUCAACCUGGGCACGGCAUCCGAUACUGGCUGACUAGAGUGUGGGAGAGGAAGGUAGAAUUCCAGGUGUAGCGGUGAAAUGCGUAGAGAUCUGGAGGAAUACCGAUGGCGAAGGCAGCCUUCUGGCCUAACACUGACGCUGAGGUGCGAAAGCAUGGGGAGCAAAC
rnacentral:rRNA from 1 species